AGUGGCGAACGGGUGAGUAAUACAUCGGAACGUGCCCUGUAGUGGGGGAUAACUAGUCGAAAGACUAGCUAAUACCGCAUACGACCUGAGGGUGAAAGUGGGGGACCGCAAGGCCUCAUGCUAUAGGAGCGGCCGAUGUCUGAUUAGCUAGUUGGUGGGGUAAAGGCCCACCAAGGCGACGAUCAGUAGCUGGUCUGAGAGGACGAUCAGCCACACUGGGACUGAGACACGGCCCAGACUCCUACGGGAGGCAGCAGUGGGGAAUUUUGGACAAUGGGGGCAACCCUGAUCCAGCAAUGCCGCGUGUGUGAAGAAGGCCUUCGGGUUGUAAAGCACUUUUGUCCGGAAAGAAAUCGCACUGGUUAAUACCUGGUGUGGAUGACGGUACCGGAAGAAUAAGGACCGGCUAACUACGUGCCAGCAGCCGCGGUAAUACGUAGGGUCCAAGCGUUAAUCGGAAUUACUGGGCGUAAAGCGUGCGCAGGCGGUUGUGCAAGACCGAUGUGAAAUCCCCGGGCUUAACCUGGGAAUUGCAUUGGUGACUGCACGGCUAGAGUGUGUCAGAGGGAGGUAGAAUUCCACGUGUAGCAGUGAAAUGCGUAGAGAUGUGGAGGAAUACCGAUGGCGAAGGCAGCCUCCUGGGAUAACACUGACGCUCAUGCACGAAAGCGUGGGGAGCAAACAGGAUUAGAUACCCUGGUAGUCCACGCCCUAAACGAUGUCAACUAGUUGUUGGGGAUUCAUUUCCUUAGUAACGUAGCUAACGCGUGAAGUUGACCGCCUGGGGAGUACGGUCGCAAGAUUAAAACUCAAAGGAAUUGACGGGGACCCGCACAAGCGGUGGAUGAUGUGGAUUAAUUCGAUGCAACGCGAAAAACCUUACCUACCCUUGACAUGCCACUAACGAAGCAGAGAUGCAUUAGGUGCUCGAAAGAGAAAGUGGACACAGGUGCUGCAUGGCUGUCGUCAGCUCGUGUCGUGAGAUGUUGGGUUAAGUCCCGCAACGAGCGCAACCCUUGUCUCUAGUUGCUACGAAAGGGCACUCUAGAGAGACUGCCGGUGACAAACCGGAGGAAGGUGGGGAUGACGUCAAGUCCUCAUGGCCCUUAUGGGUAGGGCUUCACACGUCAUACAAUGGUGCAUACAGAGGGUUGCCAAGCCGCGAGGUGGAGCUAAUCCCAGAAAAUGCAUCGUAGUCCGGAUCGUAGUCUGCAACUCGACUACGUGAAGCUGGAAUCGCUAGUAA
rnacentral:rRNA from 1 species